rnacentral:misc_RNA from 1 species
UUAAAUUUGGGAGCACUUUUACUUUAAAUGAUAGUUAUAGAAAAUUUAUUUGACUUUUUGACUUCAAAAAUUAAAAAUAUAUUUUUUUAAUUAAUUUCAAUGAUAAAAAGGAUUUAAAGAGAUAAUACAAUGUCUGAGAUUUUAAAUAUGAUAUGGGAUGACGAUGAUUUUGAGGAAGAAAUGGAGGUACUAAUUUCCACCUUAGAUGAUUCUAUAAGUUCUAAUACUAGUAGUAGUACAAGUGACACAGACUCCAGUAUUAGUGGCGAGGAGUAUGAAGAUUUCAUUAAGAAAAUCGACAAAUUUAAUGUUCAUGAGUUUAAAUCUCACAUGAGAAUAAAUGCAUCAACUACCAAGUAUUUAAUUGAUGGCUUUUCUACGUCUUCAUAUAACCCCGAUAAUUGCAAUGGUGGCAGGCAAAGUGUAAGUCCUAAAAAGGCUGUGUAUAUGUACAUUUGGUAUGUGGGAAACACAAUCACAUUUAGACAACUGUCCAUACUUUUUAAUGUGUCGAAGUCAACAGCAUGGUUAGUUGUAAAAAGGGUAUCCUCAUGGCUAGUUUCAAUUGGACAUGAACAUAUUAAAUGGCCUCAAGGUACUGAAAUUACUAAAAUACAAAAAAAAUUUGAAGAAAAAAAAAAGAUUCCCGGUGUUUUAGGUGCAAUUGAUUGCACGCACAUUACUAUUAAAGCACCAAAGAACAAUAGAGAAUGCUAUUUUGACAGAAAACAAAACUAUAGCAUUGUUUUACAAGCCGUUGUAGACCCAAACAAAAAAUUUUUGGACAUUUCUUGUGGAGAGCCUGGAUCGUUACAUGAUUUCAGAGUAUUAAGAAGAUCUGAACUUUACUUACGAGCCGAAUCAAAUCUGGAGCAAUUUUUUCCAAACAACGCAUUUAUUUUAGGUGAUUCCGCAUACCCACCUAACCGAUGGAUAGUACCGCCAUUUAAAGAUUAUGGCAAUUUAAGCGAAACCCAAAAAAAAUUUAACAAAAUACAUUCAUCAACAAGGAUAACAGUCGAAAAUGCGUUUGGUUUACUAAAAACAAGAUUUCGGCGAACAUUAAAAUUUACAGAGCAAACUAACUUACUUAAUAUAACAAAUUUAGUUACAAGUAUGUGCAUUUUGCAUAAUAUAUGUAUAAGUUUGGACGACUUGCAUGAAUUUAUUGAAAAUGAGUUAUAUGCAAAUGAUGACGAUAGCAAUUCGAGCAACCUCGAAAUUGGAGAAGGGUCAAGCAGACGUGAUGUCUUAUAUAAUCUUUUAAUUGAAAGAAAUAUAAUAUAAAGAAAAUCUAUUCACCAAAAAGUGAUACACUUUAUUUUUAUUGGCAGCACUUUUAUCGAAGUUAAAUUUAACGUGUAAAUUUUUACGUGUUAACUCCUAACGGCUAUAAAUUUGAAAUUUAUAUGAAAUUACCCUUGAAAGUUAGAAACAAAACACAACUAUUAUAUGUGUUUAAUGUAAAUGUCAGAAAUCUGGAUAGAUACCACCCUAAUAACUCAAUCUCUCGAUGCUCACUAAACUUGAUUGCGUUUUUUCUUUUUUAACAAAUGCAGCAACCGAAAACGUAUAAAAUUUACAUUAAAACCUAUAACAAC